GAUGAACGCUGGCGGCGUGCCUAAUACAUGCAAGUCGAGCGAACAGACGAGGAGCUUGCUCCUCUGACGUUAGCGGCGGACGGGUGAGUAACACGUGGAUAACCUACCUAUAAGACUGGGAUAACUUCGGGAAACCGGAGCUAAUACCGGAUAACAUGUUGAACCGCAUGGUUCAACAGUGAAAGACGGUCUUGCUGUCACUUAUAGAUGGAUCCGCGCCGCAUUAGCUAGUUGGUAAGGUAACGGCUUACCAAGGCAACGAUGCGUAGCCGACCUGAGAGGGGACGCGCCCACAGGAGAGCUGAGACGGGGCCGAGACCCACGCGGGGCGCAGCAGGGGGGAAUCCCCCGCAGGGGGCAAACCCGUGACAGAGAAGCGCCGCGAGUGAGAAAGGGGUUUGGGUCUCAAAACACUCUUUUAUGGGAAAAAAAAAAGUGUAAAAAAAACUACGCGCCUUUAGGGGAUCCAUACACAAAACCCCGCGUAAAUCCGC
rnacentral:rRNA from 1 species